rnacentral:rRNA from 1 species
UACGGGGGGAGCAAGCGUUGUUCGGAUUUACUGGGCGUAAAAGGGCGCGUAGGCGGCCACCGCAAGUCGACUGUGAAAUCUCCGGGCUUAACCCGGAAAGGUCAGCCGAUACUGCGGGGCUAGAGUGCAGAAGGGGCAAGCUGGGAAUUCUCGGUGUAGCGGUGAAAUGCGUAGAUAUCGAGAGGAACACCUGCGGCGAAGGCGGGUUGCUGGGCUGACACUGACGCUGAGGCGCGAAAGCCAGGGGAGCGAACGGG